GCGUUCUCGAGAUCCGCCGGGUUGUCUCGGCGACGGCGGGGGCGCGCCUCCGGGAGCGUGCCUGGGCGGCUCAAUGACAAUACUGAGGAGGCGGCGGAGGGUGGCCCGGCUCCCGGCGAGGGAGGAGGAAGGAGAAAUUUAAAAGCGUCCGGGAGUNGGUGGCCCGGCUCCCGGCGAGGGAGGAGGAAGGAGAAAUUUAAAAGCGUCCGGGAGUAAGGUGGGGUGGGUGGGGGCUGGAACGAAGAAGAAGAAGAAGAAGGAGAGAAAGAGGAGGAAGAGGAGGAGGGCGGGAAGUACAUUCUCAGAUCCAGGUCUCAUUGAGAGAAGAAAGUACACUUGUGCUAUUUCCUCAAGGUAAAGAAUGAGGACUAAUCUAUCCUGAAGAAACUGAAGUAACAUUUCAGCUAUUCAGUUCUUCAACAGCAUCCUGGCCAGUGCUCAGCAGUCUUAGACAACAAGCACAAUGGCUGCAAACAAGAAUAAGAACCAGAGCUCAUUAGUUCUUCACAAAGUGAUCAUGGUUGGCAGUGGAGGGGUGGGCAAAUCUGCACUUACCCUUCAGUUCAUGUAUGAUGAGUUUGUAGAAGACUAUGAACCUACUAAAGCUGACAGUUAUAGAAAGAAAGUGGUUCUUGAUGGAGAAGAAGUACAGAUAGACAUUCUGGAUACAGCUGGACAAGAAGAUUAUGCAGCUAUUCGAGACAACUACUUCCGUAGCGGAGAGGGAUUUCUCUUAGUCUUCUCCAUAACAGAACAUGAAUCCUUUACAGCCACAGCAGAGUUCAGGGAACAGAUUCUGCGAGUUAAAGCUGAAGAAGAUAAAAUCCCUUUGCUUGUGGUGGGGAACAAAUCUGACUUGGAAGAGCGGAGACAGGUACCUAUUGAAGAAGCCAGAAGUAAAGCAGAAGAGUGGGGUGUCCAGUAUGUAGAGACAUCUGCCAAAACCAGAGCCAAUGUAGAUAAGGUAUUCUUUGAUCUCAUGAGAGAAAUAAGAGCAAAGAAGAUGUCAGAGAAUAAAGACAAGAAUGGCAAGAAAAGCAGCAAGAACAAGAAGAGUUUUAAAGAAAGAUGCUGUUUACUGUGAUUGCCAAGAACGUGGAUCAGAUCUGUCAGUUGCCACUGAGGACAUAGGGCUGGGUUCAUGAAAGGAAGACUAUAUCUCUUUAGUUAUGCUUUCUUUUCUUUUUACCUGAUUCAUGUAUUAUUUCUUUAAAUGAAAAAAAAAAAAAGAUUUGUGAAUCAGGCAGUAGCUGGCAGAAAAAAAUGACCCAAUUUCCUUGGAAUAGAACUAUUCCUCUGUCAAUUUUUUCUUUUAACUAAAAGCUUAACAAACUUAGUAUGACAGGCAGAAAGUAAUCCAAUGUUAAAUUUUAAAAUACUGCAUUGUAGCUUAAGAUAUUUUUCCAGUUUUAUAACAUCACCAUUUCAGUCAGAAAUUAAAAAAUCUCUUGUUUUCUUUAGGUUUUGAGAAGGAAAACCAGACUUUCUUCCACACUCAGCAUUCUAACACUUCUACUAUUUUAUUAAUGACAGUCAGAACAAUUAUUAAAUUACAGAGCAAGUGGUUUGAUUAUGUUUAAUGACAUAGGUGAAAUUGAGUAACUUAUCAGAAAUUUUUAGUAAUUUCCAGAAGUCUAAAAAGUAGCUAAAAUAUAAAUUUGAAUUGUCUUGAUUAGAUUAUUAUGAAGUUCAAAAGUCUCACUUAUACACAUUUAAGGUAUCUGUCCUGGCUUUAUUUUUUUUUUUUAAUAUUUAAAUAUUGGCUAGUUUUACUUUUAUUGUCUGGUUCUUCCCUAAGGGUCCUAAGAUUGUAUGGGAACUUAUAAAAAAGUGCACUUUCUUAAACUUCACCUUUUGCAACUUUUUAAUUAAAACAAAAAAAAGCACCAAUCCCAAAACACACUCCUAAACUCUGUUUUAAAUUUCAUGCUCAUGCUAACUUCUCACACUAAUUGGCAUGAGCAAUUUACCAAGCACCAUUUUAUCCUCAAAGUAAUUGUCAUCAUUGUUUAAAGAUUAUACUUUCUCUUACAGCACUGAAACCCCUGGGCAAAGUAGCAAAUGUUGCUGAUGCUCUACUUUUUGUUUCUUUACCUUGUUUAAUGCAAAUGCUUUGGAAGAGUGAUGAGCUACAGAUGUAACCUAAAAUCAUGAAGCCAGAGCCAGUGCCAGACAUUUUGCUACCUCUCAGAGAAUUACUCAGUAAUUCUAAAUUUAAAUCAGAAAAACAGUGAGGAGAAUGAAGAUUGAUUGGACUUAAAUGAAGAAAACCAAGCAAGACAUGCACCUCUGAGGUGGAAUUCAGAACAAGCCCAGGAAGAAUCUUGAGGAAAUGACUGUUGGGGAGGGGCCAGAGUGAAGAGGGGAAUUCUGUGGAAGAUAUCCCAACUGCCACACUUCUCACUAAACCUUGGAUGGGUCAGAGAGGGAGGUGGGUGGUGGUGAUCCUGUGAGAACCGGGUGCUCCUUAACCCCCAAAAUAGAGGAUUUCCUUGAGUAUCACAACUGCUAUAAACUAGCCAAUCAUCUCAAUUGAUCUACCAACAUCAUUUGCCAUCUGAGAAGAGAUAAACAUAGCAGUUAUUCCAUUUUGCCAAAGAGCCUGGACUCCUGGGGGGAGUGGGCUCUGAGGGCCCUCUGAAUCCGCUUUAUCCACAUCCCUGUUAUUUUUCUUCAGUUUAGUUAAUUAGGUUAUUGGUUAGGAGUUACUGGGGCUUGAGACAGUUACUGGACAAGAUCUACAGAAGAAAAACAGUACUGCUCAUCCCAGAGAGAGAAAUUCACUUUGAUAGAGAAGCUGAUUCUUUACUCUCUAUCCUGAAUCCCCACAAUCCUUCCCUUAAUCCUUGAAUUCCUCUAACCUCAAAUA